CUUCUAUAAACCCAAGUUUUCUAACCAGCAGAAUGAAACUAAAAUCCCCACCUUAAGAGGUGGUGGUGAGAAUUAUAGGAGAUACAGGUAAAGGGCUUAGUGUAGUACCUGGCCUGGGGUUUUAAACACCCAGUAAAUAUAAGAUAUUACAAUUAUUGUUAUUGUUUAUUCUAGGGAGAAAUUUGAAAAACAGCAUUGAAAAAUUCAAGCAAGAACAUCAGCAGUCAGUAUAGCAUAAUUUGGAAUUAAGGAUUAAAAUUAGGUGUUAUUUUCAUCUCUUUUUGUUUCUCUGUUUUUAAUAAAAUUUUUAAAAAGGUGUUUUUUUUUUUUUUCAGUAUUCCAUUGGAUCCUUAGGAGGGGUGUGUGUGUGUGUGUGUGUGUGUGUGUGUGUGUGUGUAUGUAGGGUGGGUGUUGAGAAAUUUUCAUAUCCCUAGAAGAGUGGAUUCUGAUGGAGAGCUGCAUUAACUUUUACAGGGGAGCCUCCUCAUUUUAAAAAGUUCAAAUAAUGUUAACACUGGGGAAGAGAGAACAGAUAUUUGACCUAAGUAUUAAGUACGGUCAGUUAAUUG
rnacentral:lncRNA from 1 species